GGCCUCUGUGGCGCAAUGGACAGCGCAUUGGACUUCUAAUUCAAAGGUUGUGGGUUCGAGUCCCACCAGAGUCG